rnacentral:rRNA from 1 species
GCGAAAGCAGGUCAUAGUGAUCCGGUGGUUCUGAAUGGAAGGGCCAUCGCUCAACGGAUAAAAGGUACUCCGGGGAUAACAGGCUGAUACCGCCCAAGAGUUCAUAUCGACGGCGGUGUUUGGCACCUCGAUGUCGGCUCAUCACAUCCUGGGGCUGAAGUAGGUCCCAAGGGUAUGGCUGUUCGCCAUUUAAAGUGGUACGCGAGCUGGGUUUAGAACGUCGUGAGACAGUUCGGUCCCUAUCUGCCGUGGGCGCUGGAGAACUGAGGGGGGCUGCUCCUAGUACGAGAGGACCGGAGUGGACGCAUCACUGGUGUUCGGGUUGUCAUGCCAAUGGCACUGCCCGGUAGCUAAAUGCGGAAGAGAUAAGUGCUGAAAGCAUCUAAGCACGAAACUUGCCCCGA